CAAUAGCGUAUAUUAAAGUUGUUGCGGUAAAAAAGCUCGUAGUUGGAUUUCUACCGAAGAUAGCCGGUCGGGUCUUCGACCUUGUAUCUGGUUUUGUCUUUGGUAUCCUCAUAGGGAACGUUUCUGCGCUUUAUUGCGUGGUGCGGUAUCUAUGACUUUUACUUUGAGGAAAUUAGAGUGUUCACGGCAGGCAAACGCCUUGAAUAUAUUAGCAUGGAAUAAUAACAUAGGAUCUUCGUCCUAUUUUGUUGGUUUCUAGGGCUAAGGUAAUGAUUAAUAGGGAUAAUUGGGGGCAUCUGUAUCAACGCGUCAGAGGUGGAAUUCUUGGAUUGCGUUGCGACAAACUACUGCGAAAGCAUUUGCCAAGGAUGUUUUCAUUGA
rnacentral:rRNA from 1 species